AGCGAACGCUGGCGGCGUGCCUAACACAUGCAAGUCGAACGUGAACGGGGCAACCCUAGUAAAGUGGCGUACGGGUGAGUAACACGUAGGUAAUCUACCUUACAGUUUGGAAUAACCGGCCGAAAGGCUGGCUAAUACUGGAUAGAGCGACGGGAAUCGUAACGAUUCUUUCGGGAAAGGGAGCUCGAUAAGAGCCUUCGCUGUAAGAUGAGCCUGCGUCUGAUUAGUUAGUUGGUGGGGUAAUGGCCUACCAAGACGAUGAUCAGUAGCUGGUCUGAGAGGAUGAUCAGCCACACUGGAACUGAAACACGGUCCAGACUCCUACGGGUGGCUG
rnacentral:rRNA from 1 species